AAUUGCUCCACGACACUAGGUGCCUCGCAAGCCUUCAGCGCGCGAGGAUAAUCGGGAAGCCGGUGCGAGCCAUUGCUGAGCAGUGGUUCAAGGCCGGCGCUGCCCCCGCAACGGUAAUGGCAAGACUUCGAUUCACACGGUCACUGUUUAGCGAUAAACGGGAAGGCCAUCGGAGAGCGCCACAGCCCGGAGACCGGCCUAGUGAUGUCAAUUCUC
rnacentral:ncRNA from 2 species